UAUAAAGAAUUUGGAGCUUCUGUGGAGUUACUCUCUUUUUUGCCUUCUGAUUUCUUUCCAUCUAUUCGAGAUCUCCUCGACACCGCAUCAGCCUUGUAUCGGGAGGCCUUAGAGUCUCCAGAACAUUGUUCACCUCACCAUACAGCCCUCAGGCAAGCUGUUCUGUGUUGGGGUGAGUUAAUGAAUCUGGCUACCUGGGUGGGAAGUAAUUUAGAAGACCCAGCAUCCAGGGAAUUAGUAGUCAGUUAUGUCAAUGUUAAUAUGGGCCUAAAAAUUAGACAACUAUUGUGGUUUCACAUCUCCUGUCUUACAUUUGGAAGAGAAACUGUUCUUGAAUAUUUGGUGUCUUUUGGAGUGUGGAUUCGCACUCCUCCCG
rnacentral:rRNA from 1 species